rnacentral:tRNA from 1 species
GCGGGUGUAGCUCAAUGGUAGAUCAGAAGCCUUCCAAGCUUAUGGCGAGGGUUCGAUUCCCUUCACCCGCU